rnacentral:rRNA from 1 species
AUUGAACGCUGGCGGCAUGCCUUACACAUGCAAGUCGAACGGCAGCACGGGAGCAAUCCUGGUGGCGAGUGGCGAACGGGUGAGUAAAGUAUCGGAACGUGCCCAGUCGUGGGGGAUAACGUAGCGAAAGUUACGCUAAUACCGCAUAAGAUCUAUGGAUGAAAGCGGGGGAUCGCUAGACCUCGCGAGAUUGGAGCGGCCGAUAUCAGAUUAGGUAGUUGGUGGGGUAAAGGCUCACCAAGCCGACGAUCUGUAGCUGGUCUGAGAGGACGACCAGCCACACUGGGACUGAGACACGGCCCAGACUCCUACGGGAGGCAGCAGUGGGGAAUUUUGGACAAUGGGCGAAAGCCUUAUCCAGCCAUGCCGCGUGCAGGAUGAAGGCCUUCGGGUUGUAAACUGCUUUUGUACGGAACGAAAAGGUUUGGCCUAAUAAGCUGAGCUCAUGACGGUACCGUAAGAAUAAGCACCGACUAACUACGUGCCAGCAGCCGCCGUAA